CGCGGGGCAUGAUGGGGGUUGUAGUUCCGAUGAGGGGGUAAUGGCGGAGUAGGGCCCGGUGGUGUGAUGGAGGGAGGGGAAAGGGGGGGAGGCUCAAACGCCGCUGAGGAGCUGCUGCCGAUUGAUAUUUUGGGUUUAGAUAAUAAAAUUUUAGCUUAGAUGUGAAAUAGGUUGCCUGAUGCGUGUGGUGGAGCCUCCCAGGAGGCCAGGCUGUGCUCGCAGCCCACAGGCAGCCCUGUGAGAAACACAGGAUUUGGGUACAGAAGCAGCAGAAUUGGGUCUGAGGAGGGGAAAAUUUGGGAAGGGUCCAGGGAGGGGAGAAGGGAGUAAGAAGUGGGUGAGUGGUGUCAUCAGGGUGGUUUGGGGACCAGCCAGGACAGUGGCACCAGGAGGUGCCAGCUGCUUCACGAGGAAGAUGAAAAAUAAAAAAGAAAAUACAUAUUUUUUGAAACAAAUAACCAGUUCUGCUUGUAUUUCUGGCCAUGACCCAGCACAUGUCAAGGAUGAAGACAUUGUUGUGGCAAUCGUCAGAAGACCAAGAAUUUAAACAGCAUGACCACUCCAAGGAUCCUACCCCAAUAUAUGGACUCUCCAAUCUGGCAUGGACUUUCAGCAGGAUCUAAUACAGGGUCUAUGGCACCUUCAGUCUUUCUUUGUCACUGUUAGAUUGUGACGUUGCCCUGUAACUCCUCACCCCUGUACCUAGAGUGUGUUUUUUUGCCUUUCUGCACUUGGAGCAAUUUGAGUUUUCUGUUAAUACAGCUACGUAUCAGUCAUGGGUGAAGGGUUGUUCCCAAACUUGAGCGGAGCCAUGCUGAGUGUGUACCAGAAUCUGCCAAAGCCCUCUGUGAUCAAGGGAAGCCAAACUGAUCAAAAAGUGGGAUUGUCAUGUUUCAUUUAGUUUUUAAUAAAGGUUUGAUCUGAAUCAGA